CACUUCCACGGUUAUAGUCCAAGCCGAAUUACGAAGUACGCCCAGUACCGUCCACCAUUCUAUCGUCCCGAAUCUGCUGAAUCUGCGUCCUGGCAGACGAUCGCGUGCGCGCGUGCAACUGUUCCUCGUAGUUCCUGUAAUGGCGACAUCUGAGAACUUCCGAAUGGGUCCGAGUGACGUAACACAAUAAAAAUAAUAACUACCGUGAUGCAAUAUCUAUAAAUAAUUUAAGAGUGUCGUAACAAACUCAACUUGUACAACUGAAUAAAGUUAAUAGACAAUUUUACACAAUAUUUACUACAUAAUGUCAUUGCAUACUUUCUUCUUUAUGAUAAGAUUGGACAGAUAUUUGGUUUUUCAAAGUAAAACAAAGAAUUUAGCAUCAUACUCAAUUACUCAUAUGGAACUCACCUAGGGAUAUUAUUUUGUGAGCUCAAUACUCUCAGUACCUCUAGAUUUUAUUUUGUGCCUUGCAGAUUUAUAUUAAGUAGAAUAAAAGUAUAUUUGCUCACAGAACAGUGUCAACAAAAUGAGACGGUGUUAAAUGUGUAUUCAUUUUUAUUUUCAGCAAAUUGUUUAAGCAAACAACAACGCUUUAAACUUCAACUUGAUAAAAAAGAUCUUCACCAGAGUGUUCCUGAAUCUCAUUCAAAAAAUGCAGCUGAUGUUGGGGAAAUGCAGGAAAAGAUGGAACCAAAAGAUGAUGAGGGCAGUACGACUGCAUCAUCAAGCAGUGGACAGAUAUCACAUGAUGAUACCAACAUUAAAACAACCUCAUCGCAUGAACUACAGGGGGCCACAUCACCAGAAAAUGUAGCAGACGUUAUGAAUGAAAGAAAAGAUUUUCGUCAUGUUCAAGAAAUUUUUGGAAAUUUACAGAUAGGUGCAGAAAAUAUUUCAGAAGAUCCAGAUAAAAAAAUAACCAUGACUGACUUUGCAGGACAGUGUUCAUAUUAUGCCUCACACCAGAUUUUUCUGAGUCCUCGAGCGUUCUUCAUUCUGGUGCUGAAUAUGGAGAAGAAUUUUGAUGAUAAGGUUGGAGAAGACGUGUGUUGUCAGGAAGGCUCCGUUUAUGGGGGAUGGACACACAGAGAUUAUCUAGAAUUCUGGAUGAAGUCCAUUCAUCAAUAUGGCAAUGAUAAUGCUCCCGUCAUCCUGGUUGGUACACAUAGUGAGAACAAAACAGAAAAGGAAAAAGAAUCGUUUUUCCGAGAAGUUUGGAAGACUCUUGACAUGAAGAAGAAGUCUCUGCAAAGACAUAUUGAUGUGAAACAUCGAUUUGCGGUUGGAUUCCAUGACAAUGAAAGCAUAGAAAAACUCAAGCUGUCCAUUGCUUAUGUCGUAGGCAAGCUUGAUCACUGGGGUGAAGAGCUUCCACAGUCAUGGGCUAUGUUUGAAACAUUCUUUCAGGAAAAGAAAAUUCGCAAGAUUUUGAGUAGGGUUGAACUUCAGUCUUUCAAUAAAACAUUGCCAGAGGGAAUAAAGCUCCAUAAUAUUGAAGAUAUGGAUGCCAUGCUGCAGUUCUUCCAUGACGUCAGAGAAAUUAUACACUUCAAUCAACAAUUCCUCAAUGAAGUUAUUAUUUUCGAUGUUCAGUGGUUUGCAGAUGCAUUUAGAAAUGUCAUAACAGAUAAAAACCAUGCACAAGAAGAUUUAUUUGAAUUUGCCUCAGAAUGGAACAAAUUCAAUGAAACUGGAGAAUUAGAUGAAGCACUGCUAUCUGCUAUAUGGAGAAUAAACAACAAUGGUUACAUCGAACAUAAAGAGGACAUUAUGAUGUACAUGGAGAAGUUAGGACUCUUAGCUAAAAUGAGCGACAAAAUAUGGUAUGUCCCGUGUAUGAACAAGAUGCAAUUUCCAGUAGACUGUUUUUCAUUAUACCCUGCCUCCUCCAUCCUCUGCUACACGUUUGAUUUUCUUCCUUUUGAAAUUUUCCAUCGCCUUGUAGCAAUGUGCAUGCAGAUUCUUUGGAGAUUUUUUCAGAUGAAGACAGAGGAUGCAUUUACCAGACUGCAGCUAUUUUUAUGUUUCAUGACCAGCACCAUAACGUCAUGCUUGGAAUGACUCAAACAGAAAUUCAGUUGCAAGUGUUUGUUGUGAAGGGAGAAGUUGAUGUUUUAACCUGUCACCAGAUUAGAGAACACAUUGAGUGUAUAUUAGAUAACCUUUCCAAUACAUUCCAGAAAAAAUAGAAAUUUCAGGUUGGGUUCAUAUACAAGCCUUCUGGGUUUUGUGACAGGAAAGAAAGUGCUGUCAUAAAGGAAUCAAUGUUAACAAGAGCAAGUUUUCAAUGCCCUUCCUGUCCAGCAAACAAGAAGCAUCCUAUCAACACAAAACAUAUCAUAAAAUAUUGGAAACAGGUUAGCCUGUCUGAGAGUAGAACCAGUGAAGACACGGAAACAGGUCCCUCUGUAGAACUGGUUCUUAAUGCAGUUACAAGAAAAAUCCGAGGCAUAGGAAUCAGUCUUUUAGAGGGUCUAUUUGAAGUCAGUAUUGAUGUCUCCCCUACACUCAGUUUUGAGGAGAAGGUAUUCAGAAUCUUGUACCAAUGGAAAUCAAAAAAUGCACACCUUGAUCACUUGAGAGAAUUAGAGAGCAUUUUACAGAGAGAAGGCCAAGGACAAGCAGCGGAAUACGUUAGAACAUUUGAUAUUACAGACUUUACCUGUAUUGGCGUGAUUAGCCCUGAUCAGAAUGUUUCAACAACGGAAUUCAAAACAUUGUCCGAAUAUCUUUCAAAAGACUACACUCAUUUCGUCCGCUUUUUGGGGCUUGCUCAAAGAUAUAUCGAACAAAUGGAAGCAGAUGGUUUUAAGAUACAGGAUAAAAUAUAUAAAUCACUUAUAAAAAUACAGGAGGAAUGUCGUUACAUGCUUAGCCGACAGAAGAUUUGCAAUGCAUUGACAUUUAUAGACAGAAAGGUUGUGAUCAGUGAACUAGGAUGGACAUCACGAAAACGAAAACGAGAUGACUGAUCGAGAAAGUAAAAGUGUAUUUUGGUUUCUUUAAGCUGUGUACAUGUAUGUUACUGUCUUAUUAUUGAAAACUGAAUUGUCAAGAAUAUUUUAAUGAAUGACCUUGUAUAUUGACA